UUGACGGUGCCCCACUCCCCCUAGAGGAGCCUGUUCUACAAUCGAUUAUACCCGCUAUACCCGACUGCUUUUUGAUUAAUCAGCUUGUAUACUUCCGUCGUAAGCUCACCAUGUUGAAUUGAUAUUGUAGUGAGCAUAAAGGAUUUUACCUCUCCCCAAUACGUCAGGUCAAGGUGCAGCCCACAAAGCAGAUAGACAUGGGCUACAGUUUCUAUAAUAGAACCCACGAAAAGCCGUAUGAAAUAUGGCCACGAAGGAGGAUUUAGAAGUAAAAAGAAAAUAACACGUCCUUUUUAACUAAGGUGCUGGGGCGCGUACAGACCGCCCGUCACCCUCUUCUACCACACCCAAUUGAUUAAUAACCCACAAUCUUAACACAGAA
rnacentral:rRNA from 1 species